rnacentral:rRNA from 1 species
GACGAACGCUGGCGGCGUGCUUAACACAUACAAGUCGAACGGAAAGGCCCUGCUUUUGUGGGGUGCUCGAGUGGCGAACGGGUGAGUAACACGUGAGUAACCUGCCCUUGACUUUGGGAUAACUUCAGGAAACUGGGGCUAAUACCGGAUAGGAGCUCCUGCUGCAUGGUGGGGGUUGAAAGUUUCGGCGGUUGGGGAUGGACUCGCGGCUUAUCAGCUUGUUGGUGGGGUAGUGGCUUACCAAGGCUUUGACGGGUAGCCGGCCUGAGAGGGUGACCGGCCACAUUGGGACUGAGAUACGGCCCAGACUCCUACGGGAGGCAGCAGUGGGGAAUAUUGCACAAUGGGCGGAAGCCUGAUGCAGCAACGCCGCGUGCGGGAUGACGGCCUUCGGGUUGUAAACCGCUUUCGCCUGUGACGAAGCGUGAGUGACGGUAAUGGGUAAAGAAGCACCGGCUAACUACGUG